rnacentral:rRNA from 1 species
CGGUUAAGUUAGAAAGGGCGGCACGUGGAUGCCUUGGCCACUAGGAGCCGAUGAAGGACGGGACGAACCCGAUAUGCUUCGGGAGCUGUAAGCAAGCUUUGAUCCGGAGAUUUCCGAAUGGGGAAACCCACCACUCGUAAUGGAGUGGUAUCCAUAUCUGAAUACAUAGAUAUGAGAAGCAGACCCGGGGAACUGAAACAUCUAGUACCCGGAGGAGAGAAAGCAAAUGCGAUUCCCUGAGUAGCGGCGAGCGAAACGGGACCAGCCCAACCAAGAGCUUGCCUCUUGGGGUUGUAGGACACUCUGUCACGGAGUUACAAAGGAACGAGGUAGAUGAAGAGGUCUGAAAGGCCGCCAUAGGAGGUAACAGCCCUGUAGUCAAAACUUCGUUCUCUCCUGAGUGGAUCCUGAGUACGGCGGAACACGGUGAAAUUCGUCGGAAUCCGGGAGGACAUCUCCCAAGGCUAAAUACUCCUAGUGACCGAUAGUGAACCAGUACCUGUGAGGGAAAGGUGAAAAGCACCCCGGAAGGGGAGUGAAAGAGAUCCUGAAACCGUGUGCCUACAAGUAGUCAGAGCCCGUUAACGGGUGAUGGCGUGCCUUUUAGAUAUGAACCGGCGAGUUACGAUCCGUGCAAGGUUAAGCAGAAGAUGCGGAGCCGCAGCGAAAGCGAGUCUGAAUAGGGCGAAUUGAGUACGUGGUCGUAGACCGAAACCAGGUGAUCUACCCAUGUCCAGGGUGAAGUUCAGGUUAACACUGAAUGGAGGCCCGAAACCACGCACGUUGAAAAGUGGCGGGGAUGAGGUGUGGGUAGGGGUGAAAAUGCCAAUCGAACCUGGAGAUAGCUGGUUCUCUCCGAAAUAGCUUUAGGGCUAGCCUCCAAGGUAAGAGUCUCGGAGGUAGAGCACUGAUUGGACUAGGGGCCCCUACCCGGGUUACCGAAUUCAGUCAAAUCCCGAAUGCCGAUGACUUAUCCUUGGGAGUCAGACUGCGAGUGAUAAGAUCCGUAGUCGAAAGGGAAACAGCCCAGACCGCCAGCUAAGGUCCCCAAGUAUAUCGUUAAGUGGAAAAGGAUGUGGAGUUGCUUAGACAAACCAGGCAUGUUGGCUUAGAAGCAGCCACCAUUUAAAGAGUGCGUAAUAGCUCACUGGUCGAGUGACUCUGCGCCGAAAAUGUACCGGGGCUAAACGUAUCACCGAAGCUGCGGACUGUUCUUCGAACAGUGGUAGGAGAGCGGUUCUAAGGGCUGUGAAGCAAGACCGGAAGGACUUGUGGAGCGCUUAGAAGUGAGAAUGCCGGUAUGAGUAGCGAAAAGAGGGGUGAGAAUCCCCUCCACCGAAUGCCUAAGGUUUCGCUGAGGAAGGCUCGUCCGCUCAGGGUUAGUCGGGGACCUAAGCCGAGGCUGAAAGCGUAGGCGAUGGACAACAGGUUGAUAUUCCUGUACCACCUCCUCACCAUUUGAGGCAAUGGGGGGACGCAGGAGGAUAGGGUAAGCGCGUAUUGGAUAUCCGCGUCCAAGCAGUUAGGCUGGGAAAUAGGCAAAUCCGUUUCCCGUGAAGGCUGAGCUGUGAUGGCGAGCGAAUUAUAGUAGCGAAUUCCUGAUUCCACACUGCCAAGAAAAGCCUCUAGCGACGGUGAGAGUGGCCCGUACCGCAAACCGACACAGGUAGGGCGAGGAGAGAAUCCUAAGUGAUCGAGAGAACUCUCGUUAAGGAACUCGCAAAAUGACCCAGUAACUUCGGGAGAGGGGUGCUCUGUUAGGGUGCAAGCCGAGAGAGCCGCAGUGAAUAGGCCCAGGCGACUGUUUAGCAAAAACACAGCUCUGCGAAGCCGUAAGCGAAGUAUAGGGGCUGACGCCUGCCCGGUGCUGGGAAGGUUAAGAGGAGGCGCUUAGCGUAAGCGAAGUGCGAAUGAAGCCCCAGUAAACGGCGGCCGUAACUUAUAACGGUCCUAAGGUAGCGAAAUUCCUUGUCGGGUAAGUUCCGACCCGGUCACGAAAGGCGCAACGAUCUGGGCACUGUCUCAACGAGAGACUCGGUGAAAUUAUUAGUACCUGUGAAGAUGCAGGUUACCCGCGACAGGACGGAAAGACCCCGUGGAGCUUUACGCAGCCUGAUAUUGAAUGUUGGUACAGCUUGUACAGGAUAGGUAGGAGCCUUGGAAACCGGAGCGCCAGCUUCGGUGGAGGCAUCGGUGGGAUACUACCCUGGCUGUAUUGACCUUCUAACCCGCCGCCCUUAUCGGGCGGGGAGACAGUGUCAGGUGGGCAGUUUUGACUGGGGCGGUCGCCUCCUAAAAUGGUAACGGAGGCGCCAAAGGUUCCCUCAGAAUGGUUGGAAAUCAUUCGCAGAGUGGUAAAGGCACAAGGGAGCUUGACUGCGAGACCUACAAGUCGAGCAGGGACGAAAGUCGGGCUUAGUGAUCCGGUGGUCCGCAUGGAAGGGCCAUCGCUCAACGGAUAAAAGCUACCCCGGGAUAACAGGCUUAUCUCCCCAAGAGUCCACAUCGACGGGGGAGGUUUGGGCACCUCAGAUGUCGGCUCAUCGCAUCCUGGGGCUGUAGUCGGUCCCAAGGGUUGGGCUGUUCGCCCAUUAAAGCGGUACGCGAGCUGGGUUCAGAACGUCGUGAGACAGUUCGGGUCCCUAUCCGUCGCGGGGCGCAGGAAAUUUGAGAGGAGCUGUCCUUAGUACGAGAGGACCGGAUGGACGCACCGCUGGUGUACCAGUUGUUCUGCAAGGGCAUCGUGGGUAGCUAUGUGCGGACGGGAUAAGUGCUGAAAGCAUCUAAGCAUGAAGCCCCCCUCAAGAUGAGAUUUCCCAUUCCGCAAGGAAGUAAGAUCCCUGAAAGAUGAUCAGGUUGAUAGGUCUGAGGUGGAAGUGUGGCGACACAUGGAGCUGACAGAUACUAAUCGAUCGAGGACUUAACCAAUUU